GAUGGACACUGGCGGCGUGCUUAACACAUGCAAGUCGAACGGUGAAGGCGGAGCUUGCUCUGCUGGAUCAGUGGCGAACGGGUGAGUAACACGUGAGCAAUCUGCCCCUGACUCUGGGAUAAGCGCUGGAAACGGCGUCUAAUACUGGAUACGAGCUGCGAAGGCAUCUUCAGCAGCUGGAAAGAACUUCGGUCAGGGAUGAGCUCGCGGCCUAUCAGCUUGUUGGUGAGGUAACGGCUCACCAAGGCGUCGACGGGUAGCCGGCCUGAGAGGGUGACCGGCCACACUGGGACUGAGACACGGCCCAGACUCCUACGGGAGGCAGCAGUGGGGAAUAUUGCACAAUGGGCGAAAGCCUGAUGCAGCAACGCCGCGUGAGGGACGACGGCCUUCGGGUUGUAAACCUCUUUUAGCAGGGAAGAAGCGAAAGUGACGGUACCUGCAGAAAAAGCGCCGGCUAACUACGUG
rnacentral:rRNA from 1 species